rnacentral:miRNA from 1 species
GGCCGGGGGAAGGAGGGGUCUGUGAGCGCUGGGUAGCGGGUAGGGGUCGUCAAGCCAACGAUGUCUUCUUUCUCAG